UGGGUCUUGAAGUUGUGCCAGGCGUUCCUCUGUGUAGUCAUCUCUGGAGUCAAUCAUCCAGCGAUAGGCCUGAAAGUCAUUGACCCACCAAAUGAUUUCCCAAGGUAUCUGCACUGCCUUUAAAUGAGGAGUCCCUCAGCAGUUCCCCGUGACACCCAGGAUCUGUCCUUACCUGCAUGAGAACAGCAGGACCCAAGUACUUGUCCCCGUUCCACCAGUAACUGGGACAGCUGGUGCUGCAGCAGGCACACAGGAUGCACUCGUAGAGUCCAUCCUGCACACAGAUGAGAGACCACGGUCAAACACAGAAGUGCAGAACUUGAAGAGACAAGUGCAGAAAUUCUAGAUUUUUAUGCAUUCUUUGCUUUCGGCCUGUCCCAGUGAGGAAAAGGUAAGAAUUUUUCAGAUGCCUGUGUGCUUGGAUACAAGAGAAUGCAAGAGAAGCUUUGGUAAGGAGAUAAAAAACAUUACUAAUCAUGAGGAAGAUUGACGUGGCUCUUGCAGCUACUUUUAGGUUUGUUUUUUUACUUAAAUGAGAAAGUGACUUCAAAGAUGCUGCUUUAAGAAAUCAUUGAGAGAAUCCCUUUAAGUCCUUAUAUGUGCCAUCAGAUAACAUUAUGAAGUGGUGUAGGAGAAUUAACUGUCGCCCUUGGAAAGAAAUUCUUUCAAACUGUAAAAUCCCAGGGUUGUUAGGACAGCACACAGCUAGUUGUAUCAUGCUGCUGACAUCCUCGGCACAUGACACGUCUGCUCAUCAGAUGUUAGAUGUCACAGCAAACGCACAUAAUGGGCAACUUUCAAAGAUCGCUGCAAUUAGGCUGCAGUUCGUCUGUUCUCAUUAUAUCCUCUUUAAUUAGCCUUCCUCUGUGUUGCUCACGCUCAUCCCUUUCACCAAAAUCCCUUGCCAAAAUCUAGGCUGCUUGCCCACUGUGAGCCUACUCAGACAAUACUGCAGCAACAAUCACUGCACUGCACUGCCGAGCUUCAAACUGUCGAGCAAAUGAUCCAUCAAGACAGGUCAGAGGCAAAAGAGAAACUGUCAAUUUAUCAACACUUAUUGUAGGAGCCAGAAAAAUCCAGACACUAACUUACCUGCUCUAUAAACUCUUCAAAAAGCUUCCCCCUCCCACCUCUAUAGGCUCAGCUUUUGCCAUUAGUUUCAGGGCUGUAAAACCCAGCGUGCAGCAACACAACAGUGCUGCUUAGGAGACAGAUACGCAGACAGCGCUGCGUUAGACAAACUACUCCCCAGCAUAAAUAGCAUUGCCAGAUCUCUACGUGAAUAUUACAAGCCUCUGCCCUUCACAGUGUUUUUACAAAGACAGAGUUUUGCAGCACAGACAGUGGAAAUGAGGUCAGAGUCCCCAGCACAACUGUGUUCUGCAUGUCAUUAGCAAAUGUUACCCCUAGCAAUGCAGACGUGCCACAGCACUGCGUUUCAGGGAGCGCUUUCCACCCACAUCAGGCUUUGUAACAGACAGUUUUGUCAUUAAAGGAACUAGACGCUACUGCACAUUAAUGUUUAACCCUGGUCUUAUCUGGAAGGGACUUUCAUGGUAAAAAAUAAUUUUAACAAAGGGUAACCAGUUUCUGACGGUCUUCUAUGGAUUGCAGGUACUGCUCCUUGCCCUGUUUCGACUCAUCCUUCUUCUUCAGGUAAGGCUCGAUAGAUUUGUACUGUGCGUAGAAGUUACUCAAGUCCUAGGAGACAAAAGGCAAAAAGAUCACGCUUGAUGUCUGAGAGACUGAACAUCUGUUGUCAUUUAUAGAGAAGGAGGUAUUUUGUACGUCAGCCUGCCGCAUUCCUCCUAACGAGGCCAGAUUUAGUCACCACUGGUAAGCAGACCCACCCAAGCCAGAGAGCAUCAAGAGGAGCUCGGACGUGAAUUGUGGGUCGUGAUCUUGUUGCCAUCUCCCAACAUUAUCCCUUCUAAUCCAACCUGAACCCCAUGCUGUCUGGAAUGGCGUCAGCAUUGGUCACAAGAUGAAGGCAGAUACUUACUGGAACAAGAUCCUUCACCACAUACAUGUGGGGGAGAGGGUAGAUUUUAGUGAUCUUGCUGAGAUCAGGGUCAAUUUUUUUAGUACAAGCCAGAGUGUUUCCACCAGCAAUGUUCAUCGCACAGGAGCCACAGAUGCCUGAGAAAGAGAACAGAGUAAAGCAGUCGAUGUUCACUCUCUUAUCCUACUUGAGGAAGAUCCUCUUCACCCUGAACUUGCCCCUGGCUUGAUUUCCCUUCUGAUGUCAUCAAGAACCUUGGUACGUGAUGAGGAAAAUGCUACAAGUUGUCACUGGGCCAAGCACAUUGCUAUUCAAACAAAGAAAUGCUGGCACUGUUUUCAUGAAGCUCUAAAUGUAUCCUUGGCGCUGAACUUCCUUCCACAGCAAAACCUGUGGCAUUCAGACACUUCAUCCCUACGUGUCAUACGCUCCACGUGCUGCUUCUCAGAUUUGUUGACAGGUUUGAAACACAAGCAGCUAACAGUGGGAUUACAAAGUGGAGCCACAUGGACCCCCACCAGCCCUACAGUUAGGUUCAGAAGCAUCCCUAAAGGUCAGGAAUGUGAAAAUAAGUUCCCAAGACAGAAGCUCCUUUCUGCGCCUUCUGCAGCAGCUGAAGUUGUGCCAUCCCCUGCUUUCAUUAGCUCCCCGUGGUGAGAGAACACGCACUCACAGAACAAAUAGCAUAUAAAUAGCUUAACAAAUGGGUUAAGCGACACUGCUCGUGACCUCAGUAACACAAGGAACAGAUGCAGCCCAGGAAAGGGCAAGGCUCACAAAAAAAACAUUAUAGAGCUGUCUCUGAUACUGCUCAGGUCAGAAGCUCUGGCAUUCAAUCUUGGACUGAUUCCUAAGGCAUUAUAUUGGAAAGAUGACAAGUGCUGAAAGGGCGUCACUAAUUUCAGAGGAUUUGACACACAUCAGUUGAUAGAGUCAGGGAAAUGCCACUACUGCUCACACUGAGUGAGCCAGUCCUCAGCGCCUGGUGUGCAGGCAACCCUUCCCACAAGGGCUGGCACUUGGACAAAGUUAUUUCUCCCACUCACUGAGUGGUUACAAGUAUUUUCCAGUAAACUCGAGAAGGGGCCAGGACAAUUAGAGACCACGUGUAAGAAACCGGAACACAUGAUCAGAUUUUUUUCCCCUGUAUGGUAGAAAAGGACAACAUCAAACCAACCAAGCUUAGGAACCUGUCUUUAGAUUCUCAAAGAAAACUAUUCAGUGCAAUUACUUCCAGCUGCUCAGGAACAGUGUUUGCUAUAUAAAUAUCAGACACGGACAACAAUCACACUGGAUAAAAUUCCUCCACUGCUAUGCAGAUUCUGCCAGAAAUGUCUGUGUUGAAGCAUGCUUUUCAUUUAGAUCUGAGUCAGGACGUCUUUAGGCAUCAGGCAAUUGCACCUAAAUUUCUAGCGCUUGCAAACCCAACCAAUUAAACCAAAAGUUGUUCCAUGAAGACAUUUUCCUCCACAAUAAUCUUAAUCUCAGCAUACCAACAGCACUCAUGAAUUAAGUCUUUCUUUCCAGGGAAAAGUGUCACUGGGACUGGAAAGUUUGAAUGCAGUCAAAGAUGCUGAUGACUACCUGCCUGAGAACCAGCAGGUAACUCUGCAGCAUGAAACCAGGGGAUGGCCUUCUCCUCACUCUACUUAGUCGAAGGGCUACAGUUCACUGCCAUUCAACACGUCUUUCCCCUCAAUUCUGCUGCUGUAAUGUCUCCUCCCUAAAUUCCCCUACAGAGUCCAUCACUGGAGGGCAGCAAGAUGAACACAAUUAGGAUGGAAACAGGAAUGACUGGGGCUGUUUAUGUGUCUCACUUGUAACUCGGUGUGGGGUGAUUAUAUGCUGUAACUUCACUGCUUGAUUCACUAAGGUAUUUCGUGUUCAAUACCUAGAAAAGAAGAGUGGCAUGCUGUGGUCUGCCCUGAAGUUUUCUAUUGGUUACACACAUGCAGCGUUAGCGUUCGCAUUUUAUUUGGACAACAGUCAGCUUAGCAGAUUGAAAAAUCUUUCUUACCUUCCCUGCAUGACCUGCGGAAGGUCAGAGUGGAGUCCAACUCAUUUUUAAUCUUAAUCAGAGCAUCAAGUACCAUAGGGCCACAUCUAUAGCAGAAAACAAAGUCAGUGAACCUAUAUAAUUUCCCCUGGCUUUAUCUCCAGCACCAACCUAAGAAGCAACUAAAAGGACUUUCAUCUCAGCUACAAUUAAAACUGUACUUUAUUUUGCAACAAGAUAGAAAUCAGUUGCUCAGUGGCACAACUCACAGGCCUCAUCUCUCCCCAGGGUCAAAGCGGGACAGGAGCCAUUUCUUUUACUGAGGCCCAGAUUUGGCUCUGCUGGAGACAGUUCAGACAGCGCAACUGAAAACAAUCCUGAAAGCUCGCACCUCUUAAGUCAAGUUUUGACAAGUCUGCCUAUCCUCAUUAGUCACAGGAAGCAGUGCUGCUUGCAAAAGCAAAGUCUUGGACAACUUAUGUAAUUUUAUAUAUGACAGACAAGACAACACCUAGAAAUUAUUAACUGGGGCAAAUCAAAGCAGCAAAGUCUGAUUUCUGUCACGUGCUUCCCAGGCAGAGCUGCGUGGCUUUGUAUCUGAAGCUUUCAGGAAGGGCUUGAGGUGAAUUCUUCUGGCAAGACCAUAGUAACAGGAGCUCAAGGAAGCGGAGGCACAUGUGCAAAGGUUUCUACACCACAGGGAAGACUGUAUCCUUCCACAGGAUCACUGAGAAAUGAGAGCUUUCUUGGUGAUAACUGCAGUAGGGCGUACAAGCAGCUACUAGAAGUUUAAUUACUUCUAGUUUGCUGGUUGUGUUACAUGUUAAGAGAUUGUAAGAGACAGUAAAACCUUCACCUUAUCUUCAAGGUCUGGGACUGUGAGCUAUGAGUAAAAUUGCUUCCUUUUGGAAUAUGCCCCAAAAUUCACCAUAUAAAUAUAGCUGUUACCAUAUAAUUGCUGACAA